rnacentral:lncRNA from 1 species
AUGGAUGGAGAUGACCGUUGGGUUGGUCUUGAUUUCGUGAACGGUUAAUUGGGCUGACCACUGGGGUGGUCUUGAUCUUGAGCUGACCAUUGGGUUGGUCUUGAGAUGACCGUUGGGUUGGUCUUGACGUUGACCAUCGAUUGUCCGGUCUUGACUCGCGUUGGUCGUUGGGUUGGUUUGGCCUUGCUGACCAUUGGUUGGGUUGACCAAGGGUUGGGUUGACCUUGGUUGACUUUUGGUUGGGUUGACUUUGACUUGGAUUUGGUUGACUUUGAACUUGGGUUGGGAUGGGUUUGGUUGACCUUGGUUGACCUUGACUUGGGUUGAUCUUGGGUUGGGUUUGGUUGAGUUUGACUUGACUUGGAUUGGGUUGACCUUGGUUGACGUUGAGUUGGGUUUGGUUGACCUUGGCUGACCUUGCCUUG